UACGUAGGUGGCGAGCGUUGUCCGGAUUUAUUGGGCGUAAAGCGCUCGCAGGUGGUUCGAUGCGUCGUGCGUGAAAGCCCCCGGCUCAACUGGGGAGGGUCACGCGAUACUGAUCGACUCGAAGGCAGGAGAGGGAUGCGGAAUUCCAGGUGUAGCGGUGAAAUGCGUAGAUAUCUGGAGGAACACCGGUGGCGAAGGCGGCAUCCUGGACCAAUUCUGACGCUGAGGAGCGAAAGCCAGGGGAGCAAACGGG
rnacentral:rRNA from 1 species